rnacentral:rRNA from 1 species
AGCAGUGGGGAAUAUUGGACAAUGGGCGCAAGCCUGAUCCAGCAAUGCCGCGUGGAUGAAGAAGGUUUUCGGAUUGUAAAGUCCUUUCGGCGGGGACGAUGAUGACGGUACCCGCAGAAGAAGCCCCGGCUAACUUCGUGCCAGCAGCCGCGGUAAUACGAAGGGGGCUAGCGUUGCUCGGAAUGACUGGGCGUAAAGGGCGCGUAGGCGGAUUGUGCAGUCGGGCGUGAAAUUCCUGGGCUUAACCUGGGGGGCUGCGUUCGAGACGCAUGGUCUGGAGUGGGGAAGAGGGUCGUGGAAUUCCCAGUGUAGAGGUGAAAUUCGUAGAUAUUGGGAAGAACACCGGUGGCGAAAGCGGCGACCUGGUCCUUGACUGACGCUGAGG